CCUACGGGAGGCAGCAGUGGGGAAUCUUAGACAAUGGGCGCAAGCCUGAUCUAGCCAUGCCGCGUGUGUGAUGAAGGUCUUAGGAUCGUAAAGCACUUUCGCCAGGGAUGAUAAUGACAGUACCUGGUAAAGAAACCCCGGCUAACUCCGUGCCAGCAGCCGCGGUAAUACGGAGGGGGUUAGCGUUGUUCGGAAUUACUGGGCGUAAAGCGUACGUAGGCGGAUCAGAAAGUUGGGGGUGAAAUCCCGGGGCUCAACCCCGGAACUGCCUCCAAAACUCCUGGUCUUGAGUUCGAGAGAGGUGAGUGGAAUUCCAAGUGUAGAGGUGAAAUUCGUAGAUAUUUGGAGGAACACCAGUGGCGAAGGCGGCUCACUGGCUCGAUACUGACGCUGAGGUACGAAAGUGUGGGGAGCAAACAGGAUUAGAUACCCUGGUAGUCCACACCGUAAACGAUGAAUGCCAGUCGUCGGGCAGAAUACUGUUCGGUGACACACCUAACGGAUUAAGCAUUCCGCCUGGGGAGUACGU
rnacentral:rRNA from 1 species